rnacentral:ncRNA from 1 species
GUAUCAGUAAUGGUAUAGAUGAAGGAAGUGGUGUAGCAAAGUUCCCCGCCUACGAACAGAAACUUGAUCAGGCGAUUAGGUGGGUUAGGUUGCUAUACAAACCGAAGCCCCAAAGGUAAACGUAAAACCGAAGUUGUAAAUCAAGAGGUUGUGAAACGAAAGAUUAGUGU